UGGGGAAUAUUGGACAAUGGGCGCAAGCCUGAUCCAGCCAUGCCGCGUGAGUGAUGAAGGCCCUAGGGUUGUAAAGCUCUUUCACCGGUGAAGAUAAUGACGGUAACCGGAGAAGAAGCCCCGGCUAACUUCGUGCCAGCAGCCGCGUUAAUACGAAGGGGGCUAGCGUUGUUCGGAUUUACUGGGCGUAAAGCGCACGUAGGCGGACUAUUAAGUCAGGGGUGAAAUCCCGGGGCUCAACCCCGGAACUGCCUUUGAUACUGGUAGUCUUGAGUUCGAGAGAGGUGAGUGGAAUUCCGAGUGUAGAGGUGAAAUUCGUAGAUAUUCGGAGGAACACCAGUGGCGAAGGCGGCUCACUGGCUCGAUACUGACGCUGAGGUGCGAAAGCGUGGGGAGCAAACAGG
rnacentral:rRNA from 2 species